rnacentral:rRNA from 1 species
UACGUAGGGUCCGAGCGUUGUCCGGAAUUAUUGGGCGUAAAGGGCUCGUAGGCGGUUUGUCGCGUCGGGAGUGAAAACCAGGUGCUUAACACCUGGCUUGCUUUCGAUACGGGCAGACUAGAGGUAUGCAGGGGAGAACGGAAUUCCUGGUGUAGCGGUGAAAUGCGCAGAUAUCAGGAGGAACACCGGUGGCGAAGGCGGUUCUCUGGGCAUGACCUGACGCUGAGGAGCGAAAGUGUGGGGAGCGAACAGG